rnacentral:ncRNA from 2 species
UACGUAGGGUGCAAGCGUUAAUCGGAAUUACUGGGCGUAAAGCGUGCGCAGGCGGUUUUGUAAGUCAGAUGUGAAAGCCCCGGGCUUAACCUGGGAACUGCGUUUGAAACUACAAGGCUAGAGUGUGGCAGAGGGGGGUGGAAUUCCACGUGUAGCAGUGAAAUGCGUAGAGAUGUGGAGGAACACCGAUGGCGAAGGCAGCCCCCUGGGUUAACACUGACGCUCAGGCACGAAAGCGUGGGGAGCAAACAGG